rnacentral:sRNA from 1 species
UGCCUGUUCAAAUUAGCAGCCAGUGUUUUUUGUAAACCAUCUUACACGGUUUACUUGGGAUUGAUAGCUGCUCCAAAUCUUCCUUUUUUUUUCUUCCCUCUCACAAUUUUUCUCUUUGGUAACUCUUAUUUCAUUGUCAGAAAACUAAACCCAACAGUAAUCACAGCCCACUGAUUUUUUUGUUGUAUUUACCUAAUAUUGUUAUUCAGUCUUUUCCAUUUGUGUCACAUAUAGUAAAUAAAUUCUUUUUUUUUCUUUUAGAAUUGGGUUGUGAGCAAAUUUGGAAGAGUCUUACCUGUUCUUCACCUUAAAAAUCAACAUAAACGUAAAGUCAUCAAAUAUGAUCCCUCAAAAUAUUGCCACAACCUGAAGAAGAUAGGGGAGGAUUUCUCAAACACCAUUCCUAUAUCCAGCCUGACUUGGGAAUUAGAAGGAGGGAAUGACCCUAUGAGUAAGAAACGGCGAGGAGAGUUCUCUGACUUUCAUGGCCCUCCCAAGAAGAUAAUAAAAGUGCAGAAGGAUGAGAGUUCCACUGGGUCUCUGGCCAUGAGUACAAGGCCCAGGAGGGUAAUAGAGAGACCACCCUUAACACAGCAACAGGCUGCCCAAAAAAGAACUUGUGAUUCCAUUACUCCUUCUAAAUCAUCUCCUGUACCUGUUUCUGAUACUCAGAAACUUAAAAAUCUACCUUUUAAGACUUCUGGCUUGAAAACUGCCAAGAAGAGAAAUAGCAUUUCUGAUGAUGAUACUGAUUCUGAAGAUGAAUUGAGAAUGAUGAUU